CCGUGUUUGGGCAGCGUGCAGGGUGUAAGGACGGGACUCUAUGAAAACGUACUGUGUCUAAUUCCAGAUGGGGCCCUGAGGCCGGAUGCACUGUGGGCUCAUGGGUAUGCCCUUCCUCACGCCCCCGCGCCCUCUCACAACCCCCUCCUCCCACCCUGGCCCCUUCCACGGACACACCCUGACAGCAGAGGCAGGCCAGCAUGAGGAAGACGAAGGUGAACAGACCCGAGAAGGAGAUGGCCACCACAGCCAGGGACGACGACCAAGACAAGUCACUCAGCGGAGCGCCAUCUGCAGGACACAUAAAGUGUUACAGAAC